GACGAACGCUGGCGGCGUGCCUAACACAUGCAAGUCGAGCGGAGAUAUAUUGAAGAUUUAUCGGAUAUAUAUCUUAGCGGCGGACGGGUGAGUAACGCGUGGGUAACCUGCCUUAUACAGGGGGAGUAACACAGGGAAACUUGUGCUAAUACCGCAUAAUAUCAUUGUAUGGCAUCAUAUGAUGAUCAAAGGAGCAAUCCGGUAUAAGAUGGACCCGCGUCCAAUUAGCUAGUUGGUGGUGUAACGGACCACCAAGGCGACGAUUGGUAGCCGAACUGAGAGGUUGAUCGGCCACAUUGGGACUGAGACACGGCCCAGACUCCUACGGGAGGCAGCAGUGGGGAAUAUUGCACAAUGGGGGAAACCCGUGAUGCAGCAACGCCGCGUGAAGGAUGAAGGUUUUCGGAUCGUAAACUUCUUUGAUGAGGGACGAAUAAUGACGGUACCUCAAGAACAAGCCACGGCUAACUACGUGCCAGCAGGCCGAC
rnacentral:rRNA from 1 species